rnacentral:rRNA from 1 species
AGGGUUCGAUCAUGGCUCAGGAUGAACGCUAGCUACAGGCUUAACACAUGCAAGUCGAGGGGCAGCAUGGUCUUAGCUUGCUAAGGCUGAUGGCGACCGGCGCACGGGUGAGUAACACGUAUCCAACCUGCCUCAUACUCGGGGAUAGCCUUUCGAAAGAAAGAUUAAUAUCCGAUAGCAUAUAUUUCCCGCAUGGGUUUUAUAUUAAAGAAAUUCGGUAUGAGAUGGGGAUGCGUUCCAUUAGUUUGUUGGCGGGGUAACGGCCCACCAAGACUACGAUGGAUAGGGGUUCUGAGAGGAAGGUCCCCCACAUUGGAACUGAGACACGGUCCAA